AUUGAACGCUGGCGGCAGGCUUAACACAUGCAAGUCGAGCGGGGUGAUGGUGCUUGCACUAUCACUUAGCGGCGGACGGGUGAGUAAUGCUUAGGAAUCUGCCUAUUAGUGGGGGACAACAUCUCGAAAGGGAUGCUAAUACCGCAUACGUCCUACGGGAGAAAGCAGGGGAUCACUUGUGACCUUGCGCUAAUAGAUGAGCCGAAGUCGGAUUAGCUAGUUGGUGGGGUAAAGGCAUACCAAGGCGAAGAUCUGUAGCGGGUCUGGGAGGAUGGUCCGCCACACUGGGACUGAGGAACGGCCCAGACUCCUACGGGAGGCAGCAGUGGGGAAUGUUGGACAAUGGGGGGAACCCUGAUCCAGCCAUGCCGCGUGUGUGAAGAAGGCCUUAUGGUUGUAAAGCACUUUAAGCGAGGAGGAGGCUCUUUUGGUUAAUACCCAAGAUGAGUGGACGUUACUCGCAGAAUAAGCACCGGCUAACUCUGUGCCAGCAGCCGCGGUAA
rnacentral:rRNA from 1 species